GUCCCUGUAGCGCAGUGAAUAGCGUGUUGGACUUCUAAUCCAAAGGUCGUGAAUUUGAACCAUACCUGGGAUG